GUCUUGUUGGUCUAGGUGUAUGAUUCUCGCUUCGGGAGCGAGAGGUCUCUGGUUCGAAUCCCUGACAAACCC